rnacentral:rRNA from 1 species
GACGAACGCUGGCGGCGUGCUUAACACAUGCAAGUCGAACGGAAAGACCCUGCUUUUGUGGGGUGCUCGAGUGGCGAACGGGUGAGUAACACGUGAGUAACCUGCCCUUGACUUUGGGAUAACUUCAGGAAAUUGGGGCUAAUACCGGAUAGGAGCUCCUGCUGCAUGGUGGGGGUUGGAAAGUUUCGGCGGUUGGGGAUGGACUCGCGGCUUAUCAGCUUGUUGGUGGGGUAGUGGCUUACCAAGGCUUUGACGGGUAGCCGGCCUGAGAGGGUGACCGGCCACAUUGGGACUGAGAUACGGCCCAGACUCCUACGGGAGGCAGCAGUGGGGAAUAUUGCACAAUGGGCGGAAGCCUGAUGCAGCAACGCCGCGUGCGGGAUGACGGCCUUCGGGUUGUAAACCGCUUUCGCCUGUGACGAAGCGUGAGUGACGGUAAUGGGUAAAGAAGCACCGGCUAACUACGUG